rnacentral:rRNA from 1 species
GAUGAACGCUGGCGGCGUGCCUAAUACAUGCAAGUCGAGCGAACGGACGAGAAGCUUGCUUCUCUGAUGUUAGCGGCGGACGGGUGAGUAACACGUGGAUAACCUACCUAUAAGACUGGUAUAACUUCGGGAAACCGGAGCUAAUACCGGAUAAUAUUUUGAACCGCAUGGUUCAAAAGUGAAAGACGGUCUUGCUGCCACUUAUAGAUGGAUCCGCGCUGCAUUAGCUAGUUGGUAAGGUAACGGCUUACCAAGGCAACGAUGCAUAGCCGACCUGAGAGGGUGAUCGGCCACACUGGAACUGAGACACGGUCCAGACUCCUACGGGAGGCAGCAGUAGGGAAUCUUCCGCAAUGGGCGAAAGCCUGACGGAGCAACGCCGCGUGAGUGAUGAAGGUCUUCGGAUCGUAAAACUCUGUUAUUAGGGAAGAACAUAUGUGUAAGUAACUGUGCACAUCUUGACGGUACCUAAUCAGAAAGCCACGGCUAACUACGUG